CAGUCGCCACGGUAACACGAAGGGGGCUAGCGUUGUUCGGAUUUACUGGGCGUAAAGGGUGCGUAGGCGGAUUGUUAAGUCAGGGGUGAAAUCCCGAGGCUCAACCUCGGAACUGCCUUUGAUACUGGCGAUCUUGAGUCCGGGAGAGGUGAGUGGAACUGCGAGUGUAGCGGUGAAAUGCGUAGAGAUGUGGAGGAACACCAGUGGCGAAGGCGACUCUCUGGUCUGUAACUGACGCUGAGGAGCGAAAGCGUGGGGAGCGAACAGGAUUAGAUACCCCAGUAGUCCCUGUCUCUUAUAA
rnacentral:rRNA from 1 species